CAGACCCAAGGCUGCCUCACCACCAUGGCCACAGCCCAGUGCUGGCUGCCGGGCAUCAAAUCUGCAGAAAUGCACGUGGCAUAAAAGCACCAGAGACAUCCGUCCAGAGCCGAGGGCUCCUCCCUGGCCCAACAUUUUGUCCACGUAAGUCCACUUUUUGGCUGCUGCUCCCAGGCCUGGCAAGAACGCAGAUCCCCACAGCCUCCUGCUCCCUGGCAGCCUGAGGACAGUGUCGUAGGCCUGGGAUCCUCGGGCAGAACUGAAUGCAGCUUUUCCAUUGGAGGGCGCUGGGCCCACAUGGCAAUCACAGGCUGCCCUUUCUCCUGCUGGACCAAACCAAGGAGCACGGUGACCCAGGGACACCACACUCGGUGUCAGCCUCUGAGGCCAUGGAGCCACGCAGACCCAGCACAGGAUUAGAAACAGACCUUCCCGGGAGGCAGAGAGCCAGGCCUCCUGGUUUAUAGCAUGACAAGGCAGCACUCAGGAGGACGCAUCAAUCCUUCUCCAUGUCAGCACCUGUGACUGUGACCACUGGUGAGGUGGACAUGCUUCUUUUUCCAUUUUACAGAUGAGGAAACUGAGGCCAAGGGAGGGUCAGCAGCCUGCCCUGGGCUGACUGGUGAUGCAGCGAGGGUGGGGUGUGGGAGGGUGGCGGCGGCCCUUGCAGUCCCUGGGAACCUGCACCUCUUCCUGGGCGCUGUUCCCCUCUCUCUCCCAGGACCCUUGGGCCUGGCGUUUCUUCACCUGCGACCAUCCAGGAGCUGGACCUGCCCUAGGGCGUCAGUUUCCAGGGAAGCCUCUGGCCUGUGUGUGAGCCUCCCCACCUGCCCGGCCACGGCCUCCACAGGCGCCCUGCGCAGCCCCGCCCCUCCUGGGGCAAAGGCUUUGCGAAGACUUUCUUCUCUGGCUCAUCCCUUUAAGGAGGCAUAAAAACGAACCCCGGGCCUCACAGGUCCGGAAUGCGCCCCCCUCCACGAUGGGAGCUUCUUGGCCUUGGCUGUGCAGGGGCCGCGGCUCCUGGGGGUCUGGCCGGAUCUGCAGUAGUGCUGAAUGAGCUGUGGCCAGGAAGACGCAAUGAAUAAUUGUCACUUAAAAGGAUAAACAGAAAUUCCAUUUCCCUUUUAAAUACUUGAACAUUUCAAAACAUCUGGAGGACGCGAUGCUUUUCCUUCCAAGCAUCUCCGUGGAGUUUUGUGGGUUACCGCAGAGGAUCGGCAGCAUUCCUCUCUCAGGGAAAACUGGCCUGAGCAUUGCAUAACGCAGGCAGACUGCACCCCUCACGUCGCCUGGGGCCACAUGCACAUGUUUCCAAGAGACUUGCUGGAGAAUCUUCCCCGGAUCUUGACAAAGUUGGACAUGGAAAGCACGUUGGUCCAUCCAAGGUCCACAGAGCGACCCUGGCUAUGAAAAAUCAUCCUCCGAGUGGGAGUCUGUCUGCCAGGAGUGAGGUGACACCGCACAUGGCCUCAGGAGCUGGAAACGCUGGUGAAUUCAGAUGCAGCCAAAGCUUCUAACUUAGUCACAGUUAUUAAUUAUUCUUGGUCUUAUUGGAGCAGGAACCACUGCCAUGCAUCAGGCCAGCAAGGCUCACUCCCCACCGUAGGAUCCCUGUGUAGACGGUCGCUCCAUCAGUGUAGUUGGGUGUGUGGAGCAAGGGACUGGGCUGACCCUACCUUCCAAGCAUCGAUGUGGCCUUCAGCAGAGCAGGAGGAGAUAGCCCAGGACUUGUACUUUGCAGUUGAAGUGCCAGACCUAAGAAAUGCAAACCUGAGGAUGGAAAGAGGGUGGAGAGGGGGGAGGUGUCUGGAUUGGCCGUCCAGAGCAGCCCCAGCUGCAGCAAGUGGAACUUGGCUGGCUGCCUCACAGGCCUGGUGGCAGCGUCCCCAGCGAGGAGCCUGUCCCACAUAUGAAGGUCCCCAUACCCUUAGCCCCUAGCUGAGAGUUUCACUGACCAGAGCUCCCUGAGUCCAGGGCUCCACUCAAGGGACUGCUGUCCCCGUUGGUGAAGAAGGCCUGUUGGGGCCAAUGCUUCCCCCCACAGGGAAGCGGAGCUGUAUUUUGUCGGACAGAACUUUGCAAGCCUGAAACAGCUGGUGGUGGCCCCAGAGCCAAGAUCUGACCUCACUCCAGAGUUGAAGGGCACAGAGAAGGCACAGCUAGAGGCGGCAGGUACCCCUCAAAGCUCUCGGGAGAGGGUACAAAGUGGGACCUCCCAGCACCCUUGGCCUCCAGGCCUCAAAAGCCCUGAGAGGGCUGCAUGCAAGGAGACAAAGCUGGAGAAGGAUGUGGGAGGCAGGUGGCUAAGAAGACAGGCUGGAAAGGGACGUGGGAGGUAGGUGGCUUUGCUCUAAACAGAAUCGUCUCAGUAAUGUGACACUGCACAUGUAUAGGUAGGCUCGCUCAUGGGCAUAACCCUCUAAAACACACCUUUUAUGGAGUGAAAUUCACUUAACAGCCAUCUUGAAGCAUAUACUUCGGCGGCAUUUGCUGGAUUCACGACGUUGUGCAACCUCUGCUUCUCCAGUUUCAGAACAUUUCAUCCCUCCAGAACAACAGCUCAUCCCCAUUAAGUAAUCACUCCUCAUUCCUUCCCCAUCCUCUGGAAACCACAGAUCUGCUUUCUGUCUCUAUGGAUUUGUCCGUUUUGGAUAUUUCAUAUAAAAGGAAUCACGCGGUGUGCGAACGUUUGUGUCUCACUUCUUUCGGUGGAAGCCACAUUUCCAAGCCUCAUCCCAGUGGUGGCCCCUGAGUCCCCUCAGUGUAUCAGUGUCUCACUUCUGUUCACAGAUGCAUAAUAUCCCACCCCAGGGAC
rnacentral:lncRNA from 1 species